AACGAACGCUGGCGGCAUGCCUAACACAUGCAAGUCGAACGAGACCUUCGGGUUUAGUGGCGCACGGGUGCGUAACGCGUGGGAACCUGGCCUUAGGUUCGGGAUAACACCUCGAAAGGGGGGCUAAUACCGGAUAAUGUCCGCGGACAAAAGAUUAUUCCCAAUUGGAUGGGCCCGCGUUGGUUUAACUAGUUGGUAGGGGAAAAGCCGACCAAGGCGACGAUACUUAGCUGGUAUGAGAGGAUGAACCGCCACACUAGGAAGAAGCCACGGCACAGAAUCCUAGGGGAAGCAGCGGAGGGUUAUAUGGGACAAUGGAGGGAAUCCUGAUGCAUCAAGGCCGCAUGAGAGAUGAAGGCUGUAGGGUAGAAAAGCUCUUUUAGCCAGGAUGAUAAUGACAGUACCGAGAGAAUAAGCACCGGCUAACUCCGUG
rnacentral:rRNA from 1 species